rnacentral:rRNA from 1 species
CCCUUAGAUGUUCUGGGCCGCACGCGCGCUACACUGACGAAGUCAGCGAGCAGGUCCUACGCCGACAGGUGCGGGGAAUCUUGUCAAACUUCGUCGUGAUGGGGAUUGAUUAUUGAAAUUCUUGAUCAUCAACGAGGAAUUCCUAGUAAGCGCAAGUCAGCAGCUUGCGUUGAUUACGUCCCUGCCCUUUGUACACACCGCCCGUCGCUACUACCGAUUGAAUGGUUUAGUGAGAUCUUCGGAUUGGCGCCACUGCGGCUCAGCAAUGGGCUCGGUGGAUGCCGAAAAGUUGAUCAAACUUGAUCAUUUAGAGGAAGUAAAAGUCGUAACA